UGUUCCUACGGGAGGCAGCAGUGGGGAAUAUUGCACAAUGGGGGAAACCCUGAUGCAGCGACGCCGCGUGAGUGAAGAAGUAUCUCGGUACGUAAAGCUCUAUCAGCAGGGAAGAAAAAAAGUCUUUGGCUUUGGACGGUACCUGACUAAGAAGCCCCGGCUAACUACGUGCCAGCAGCCGCGGUAAUACGUAGGGGGCAAGCGUUAUCCGGAUUUAUUGGGUUUAAAGGGUGCGUAGGCGGUCCGUUAAGUCAGCGGUAAAAUUGCGGGGCUCAACCCCGUCGAGCCGUUGAAACUGGCAGACU
rnacentral:rRNA from 1 species